CCUACGGGGGGCUGCAGUGGGGAAUUUUGGACAAUGGGCGCAAGCCUGAUCCAGCCAUUCCGCGUGAGUGAAGAAGGCCUUCGGGUUGUAAAGCUCUUUCGGCAGGAACGAAACGGUGGGGGCUAAUAUCCCUUGCUAAUGACGGUACCUGAAGAAGAAGCACCGGCUAACUACGUGCCAGCAGCCGCGGUAAUACGUAGGGUGCGAGCGUUAAUCGGAAUUACUGGGCGUAAAGUUGGAACAGAGGGGUGAAAUCCCCGGGCUUAACCUGGGAACUGCGUUUGUGACUGCAAGACUCGAGUGCGGCAGAGGGGGGUGGAAUUCCACGUGUAGCAGUGAAAUGCGUAGAGAUGUGGAGGAACACCGAUGGCGAAGGCAGCCCCCUGGGUCGACACUGACGCUCAUGCACGAAAGCGUGGGUAGCAAACAGGAUUAGAUACCCCAGUAGUC
rnacentral:rRNA from 1 species